rnacentral:rRNA from 1 species
UACGUAGGGGGCGAGCGUUAUCCGGAUUUACUGGGUGUAAAGGGAGCGUAGACGGCGUCGCAAGUCUGAAGUGAAAGCCCGUGGCUCAACCGUGGAAUUGCAGUUGAAACUGGAGGCCUUGAGUGCACACAGGGGUGCCGGAAUUCAUGGUGUAGCGGUGAAAUGCUUAGAUAUCAUGAAGAACUCCGAUCGCGAAGGCAAGUGUCCGGGGUGCAACUGACGCUGAGGCUCGAAAGUGCGGGUAUCAAACAGG